UACGUAGGGGGCAAGCGUUGUCCGGAAUCAUUGGGCGUAAAGCGCGCGUAGGCGGCCCGGUAAGUCCGCUCUGAAAGUCCAGGGCUCAACCCUGGAAAGCGGGUGGAUACUGCCGGGCUAGAAUCCGGAAGAGGAGAGUGGAAUUCCCGGUGUAGCGGUGAAAUGCGCAGAUAUCGGGAAGAACACCCGUGGCGAAGGCGGCUCUCUGGGACGGUACUGACGCUGAGACGCGAAAGCGUGGGGAGCGAACAGG
rnacentral:rRNA from 1 species